GUAUUCUUAUGUUCUGCAUGCUGAGCAAAGAAAAGAAAGUGAUUUUGUGAAGAAAAACCAAAAGAAUGCCAUGAGACACCAUGAAAAAAAAACCCUAAUCAACCAACCAAAAUUGUCAAACCAAACCAAUGGAUUGUCAAAUAACAUAAGAAGAUUCCAAAGCCAAUUAGGACAUCACUGGCAGAAGAAACCUGUGAAUUAGGGUUACCAUCACCUUCUUAUGCUUAUACACUGGAAGCUGUGAAUCCAGAUGUACUGACACAUCAUCAUCCUUAAUGAAGGUCAGGGUCUGGACUACCAAAGGCAGUUGAAGAAAAUUCCACAUACUCUAGAAAGGCCAAGAUUUCUCUCAGGUCAGACUGUGAUGGAAGACACAGGGCAUAAAGAAAGGAGGCAUGGACAAACAGAUAAAAGAGGAUGCUGUUGCUUUCAUAUUAGAAGGAGGAUGGGCAUGUGAAAGAAAACUGAAGCAAGAGCCCUGUCGGAGGAAUCCAGACUGAGUACACACAACUUUUGAGAAGAUUUACAAGAACUGGAGUCAGUGAAGAUCUCUCAGAGUCAGGCAUUGGGAAUUGGCACAACUUAUGUCUGUACACUAAAACUUUAAUCUUUGAAACAUUUUAAGUAAGAUAUCUAAGAAUGUAAAGUUUAGCUAAAUACUAAUAUACAACCAUUUUAUUUGGAUUUGAGCAGUGCUAUGCUAAUGAGGAGUACAGUACAUGUUAGUAAAAUACCAAGGGAAGAAUAAGGAAUUAUGCAGAGUGUGUGGAUAUGAACUAAAUAAUAUAUUCGAAGUAGCUGAGGGCUAUCUGAGGGGCAUAGAAAUUAAAAUGGAUGAUUUUAAGAUAAUUUUUGAAUAACUGAUGGGAAAAAUGGUUCCUGCUUGUUAGGAUGAGUUAGCAGAGACAGGAGGGAGAGGAUGACACUGCAUUGAUAUUUUCAGCAUGUGUAUGUAGAUGUUUUAGGGACACCUAGAGAUACCUGGCAGAGGUCCAGUCAUAAACAUUUGACAAUGACAAUUUUGUCCUAGAUGACUAAUAUGUCAUGCAAUGAAUGGGAAUGGUGGGGGAAAUGCCUUAGUGUCAGGAAAAGAAGAUAAAAUGUCCUUGGGAGGCUCCAGAAGAAAAGUACCAGUAGCUGGGCAAGAGUCAGAGCUGGGUGGAGAACUGGGGCAAAUGUACCUUGUGGUCAGUAGAGGACACAAGCAGGUGAGAAUGACCAGUGAAAGAAGCUGAUCAGUUUACUGUGCAGAGAAGUCUGGGCUGAUAUUAAGCAUUUCUCAGCUUCUGUCCCAUCUAUGUCUGCAUACACAUUCUCCUUCCAGAUGAUUUUUGUCUGUCAAAAUCAAAAGGGAAAUAGCAAUAUCUGAGCUCUCUGGCAUUUUGGGGAUAUCAGGAGUGAAAAUGCAGGCCAGCAGCAUGCCUGUCAUUCCAUGCUAAAAGUCAAAAAGGCAGAUCAGCCUGCAUGUGUGAAUAUCCUGUUAUGUGUCUGAGACUUGGAAACUUAGUUGUUUUCUUACUUCAUAGCUUUGUAACUGCCACACUGUCAGUCUGAAGUGAUUUUAAAAAUAUCACUUUUGUAGUUAGGAAGUAAAAUGGGAUUUAUUCAGCUUUGGUACCCACUCACUGUUCAUGAAAACAUAUAUCAAACAUCUCUAACUUGCUAAUUUCACAAACUUUGAUCUUGUGCAUUCACAUGAAUGCAAGGAAAUGAUGGGGACACAAAUUUUGCCUUUUUUUACUUUUUCAUUAAGGGAAAAAAAUCUAUUUAGGUAUUAAAUAAAGAAUAAGUGCACCAUUUUGGGACUGAAUCAGCUACAUUAUCAAAUUAUGGAAACUUGUAAAAAAUAGAAACUAUGAUGGCAUAAAAAAAUGGAAAGUCUUCAUGAGAAACUUGGUAUUAUACUAUUCCUAACCAAAAAACUGAAAAUGUAAAGAAAUCUUUGGAGAGCAAAUAAAACCCCUCAAAACAAACCCCAAUGUUUUGUAAAGUAUUAUGCUUGCAUUUUCAGAGAGAGCCCAUAGAUACGUAGUCAGAGUUCAGAUGCUGGUCCUUCACUCCUUUAGGGGAUGAAGAAAUACUAAGCUCCCAAGGCACCAGGGCCAACUACAGCUAGUGAGUCAUGAUCAUGCACUAGAGUCAUCCACUGCUGUUACAAAUUGGUGAUUUGUCUCUCCUUAGCCUAAUCAAAUCAUUAAUAAAUGGUGGUGAACAAAAGGUGUUAUAGAAGCUGAGAAAAGUAUGAUAUCCAAGCCUUUAUAUGGGUUUCCACACAGACCGGAAGCCCAUAUAUUUCCUCAUGUAUUGCCUAGGUCUUGAAAGCACAAAGUUGUCAGAUUCAAAUGAUGAAAUGUUUUUAUCCAGCUGCACUGUCCUUCUCUGCUGUUAAAUUGUUAAUUAACAACUUAGGAGCAUGCAGUUUUGAAGUUGAUAUAAGGCAAUAUUUUUUAAAAUGUUGAUUUACUGUCAUGUCUGAACAUGAUAAACCAUUGAUUUUUAUAACAGGGCAAGGAUGUAUCAUCAGGAAUCUCUGUAUUUUUUUCUCUGAAAAUAUAAUUUGUCAUAUCUUUCAACAGGUAUAAAUCAGCAAAGCUUUAAACCAUUUGUUGUAGUCUGCCAGUGAACACUAGCUGAAAAUCUAGCCCACUUUUAAGUGGAUUAAAAUAAAAUGUAUGGAGAAGACUGAGUUCUAAAAGCUGUAUUUGCUGCUUGAAAUAUCUGAGAAAUUAAAAUAAUGAAACAUAAAUCUCUGGACAUUGAGAAGCCACAGCUACUACAUACAGGGUAGUAUACCUUCCUUUUUCAUAACACUGGAUUGAAUUUUUCAGCAGAUAUAUACUGAUGUUAUCAACCUGAAAUGAAGUUAUGUUUGAUUUCUCAAGCUUUUCAGUUUUUAUAACUUUUUGUGUCUAAACCAAAU